AAAAGAAGAGAAAAAAUCCAUUUUCUUCAAAGGAAAAAAAUAUGAAGUAUGAUAAACAUUAUGAUGGUUACCGGUCACAUAUGAUCAUAUAUGUGAAAGGAGAUCUUCUCGAAUGUCCUUGCUUUUUUUUUUUUCUGCUUUUUUGCUUUUUUCUUUCUGAUUCUUUUUUUAAGUUCCAUUGUUUUUUACUCUUCUCUCUUUUGGAGUGUUGAUGUUGCCAAAGAUAAUUGCUAUGACCUGCAAAGUUGCUUCUAUAUUGAUAAGAGAUAAUUGCUAUAACCUGCAAAGUUGCUUCUAUAUUGAAAUAACUUAUCCACAGUGCUUUUCUGUCUUGCCUCUGAUUUCCGGACUUUUUAAAGAAAGUUUUCUCAUCAACCCAAUAAAAGUCUAUUCGGCCAUUCAAAACACUGCUGAGACUGUUCCCUAAAAUUUUCCAUCCAGUAGCAAAACUCCCAAAAUAACAAUUUUAAUUAUUCAACAGCAUUUAUAUUUUAUCCAAAAUAAAAUAAAUGUUGUUCAAAAUAUAUCUAAAGUUGAAAGACUAUUUUAACCCCACCUAAGCUUCAGUGCAGUGCGUUAGUGGAGAAGCAAAAGUAGUACCUCUGGUUAGGCUGUUAAUAUAAAGACAAAAUACCUCUCACCUCUACUACUCGCAGAGGUCCUUUGCUUUUUUUUUUUUUUACUUGCUCUGCAAUCUUCUUUCCACUUUUAGUGUAAAAAAGUUCACGUUUUUGUAGCCAUUUGUAAAGCUCUCUCUUCUUCAUCACUACAAAACAAUGUGAAUAUGUAAUCACCUCUGCAGAUUCUAGUGGAGUUCCGUUCAAUUUUCAUCUUCUAAUCUCUCUGUAGAAAUGUGCAGUAGCUAGGGUUUUACAGAACAUAUACAUCAACAUUGACGAUACAGAAGCUUUGAUUUUGGUUCCAAGUGCGAAAUUGACUCUGAUUAUUGUUUUCGGAAGGUUUACGUAGUGAACAGUUAUAUCCGGAAACUGCAGAGGCUGGAUACUCAGUUACACGAACUUGUACGGACUCUGAAAAAUUUGAGCAAGACUUUGGAAUGAGUGUGGAAAUUGAAGAAUGCAGCUCGGAAGAGCAGUUGGAAUCGGAGGGAACCAGUACCACUACAGGGAUCUCAAAAGUUUCGAGGCUUACAUACAGUAAAGAGUUCAUGUUAUCAUUGUCUAACCUGCCUUUUUGUAAAAGCUUGCCUGAAGAUUUUGAUCCAUCAGCUUUACGAGAUUUGAGGAUUACAUAUGCUAAAGAAGUCAUGUUAUCAUUGUCUAACCAACAAAUUUGUGAAGACUUGCCCGAAGAUUUUGAUUCAUCAGCUUUACACGAACAAGAUGGCUUAUCUGAGUGUAAGGUGGGAGCGCAACAUACAUCUGCAACUCUACCCCUACAUGCUUCAAACAAUUGUUACAUUGGCUCGUCACCUGUUAUUAGAUGUGAUUUAGUUUCCAAUUCUCGUGGAUCUUGUGGAAGAUGGGAAAAACAAUUUUCACGGUUGAACGGAGAGAGCAGUUUACAGGGAAGCUGUGAUUCAGAUUCCAUGGCGCAGAAUGAUUCUUCUGGGAUUUUGGGAUCACUUCUUAGUAAGAGCAAGAACCCUUAUCGUCCACCACAGUAUUACAAGGUUGGCAAUUUCUAUUCAUAUGCUUGCGAUUCAUCUAAAGGAACGAAGUCUCUGACCAACACAGCCUGUACUGCUCAAGAGGAUGUUCCAUUAAACAAGGAUACUCUUCAAGAUGAUGUAGUUGGGGAUAAAAGUUCUGGUGUUCUGGCUACUCAUUGGAGCAAGCAGAUUUUAAACUUACCUGAAGCCCAAAAUUCUGUUAACAAGUCUGUGGAUGAGGAGAAGUCACACAGCAAAGCAUUUGGUUCUAUUAAUGCUGUCAUUGCUACUCAGCAAAAACAUCUUGAUUCUGAAGCUAAAGCACCAACUGUGAAUAUUAUUCGGGAAGAAUCUGAAAAAGGACAACUUGGAAAGAUACUAGGGAAGGAAGUAUCCCUGCAACAUACUGACUUUCCUGGCAUUGAAACAAAAUGUUUGAGGGGGCUAUGUACUGGUGGAAUGGAGAAUAGUAUUCUCACAGUCAACGUUUUAGCAGCAGAAAGCCAUGAAAAUCAUAAACUGAAUCUGGAGUCCAAGGAAGAUGUUAAAACUGAAAUCAGCAAUGAGGUUCUCUCAGAUGAAGCAUUCUUUGCUUCACAGGGAAAUUUGUAUGAGAGGAUUUCCAACAGCGAGGAGUUACAGCCCAAUGAAUUCUUCUUAGCAUCAGUUCUCUGUGAUUGUGGAGCUUUUGAGACAGAUGGUAAAAGCAUCAGGGAUUCCAUCUUCGAUUGUGAGCUUGAAUUGGAUGAGAUCGAGGAGAGUAAAUCUCCUUUUGAUGAUUUUUGGGCUGAAAUAUUGGCAGUUAUUCAUUUGGAGCAAGAACCUAGGGACCAUUACUCAGCUGAUACAGUUAACAUAACUGAAUCUGAAGUUCCACUACAUUUACCGGAUGAAGAUGAAUUGAUUUUACUCAAUUAUCAGGAAGGCCCAAAAGAGCCCAAGAGCCCUAAUGUGGACAGUUCUAUUGAUUCAGAUUUUGUGGAAGAUGAAAUCAAUUUGCCUGACGAGGACAGUUUGAUUUCUGUUGACCAUCUAUUGCCGCUCUCAAAGCAUUGUCCAGAGGUAACAUUUGUUGGCAAUACUGAUAGAUUGAUGCCUAACUUCACUGCUGAUAAAACUGGACACCCAGAAGUUGCUCAUUGUUAUGAGAAACCUUUUCCACCUGCUCGGAAAGUUCCACCAUCUCACAAUUUUUCAGGCUCUGCAACUCACCGGAAACCAUGUCCCCACCAGAUCUCUUCUCAGACCUCGUGUUGCUAUGUAAAUCAAGAAAUUCCAACUUUCCAUCCAUUGGAUCUGUAUUUUACUUGCAGUAGUUUCCAGAACACAAGAGAAGAAAAAUUUGUUCAUCAUUACCCUGCAGUAUAUUUCUACCCGUGGUCGAACAUUCAUCAUGAGACUCUCAUGAAAACCACACCUGCCAUGGAAAAGAAAAAUGGAUAUCUUGAACAGUAUACAGUGUUGCAUCGGCCAGAUAGUUUUCUUCAGCAAAGGGAGCAGCUAAGUGUGUCCCCAACAGAUGCUAUUGAGCAAGUUGUUUAUGAUGUUGUACAACAGUGGGAUGCUAUGCAGCAAUUGCCUGAGACUUAUCAACAAUUACACUAUCCUGGAUUUGGAUUUCCAAUAUGAAGCGAGAUUAUCCAGAUGCUGCUGAUGUGCAACUAGAAGGAAAAAGGAAACUUAAUUGUGGCUAUCCAACUUCCACCACCGUAGAAUUUUAGUAGUAUGUAGUAGAUGAUCAUUUUGAUGGAUUGGUUGGGCAAUUUCUGGCUGAUACAACAAUUACACAAAUCUCACCCCCCGUUGAAGUUUGUAAUUACCCACCCAUUAGGUUUAGACAGGAAAGCAGCUUGGGGGAGCUUGUUUUAGUUGGAAAAGUAACCGACUAUAGGAUAACACAACAUUCGCCAAGUAAAAUAACCUUAUCAAUAAUCUCUUCUUUCUUCUAUAAGGCGUUUAACUGAUUAUGGCAAAUUAAGGCAACAUACAAUUACCAGGUAUCUAAACAAGUCAGUAGGAAUGAUGAAAACGUGACUUUUUUUUUUUCUUCCUAAUUUGCAGGUUUUAAGAAAAUA